CCUGUUUUGCAGGAGUUAUGCUCAUAAUUGCACACUCACUUCCAGAUAAAAGGCAAGUUGGAGCAGAGAGGGAGGGUUCUAGAUGUAGGAACAGCAAUGCAAAUGGCCAAGGGUACAGGAGUUUCAAGUGUAAAGGAGCUAAAAUUCUCCACUGUUGAAGCAACUGUGAGUAAUAUUAGUAGCUGUAUUGCGGGAACAAAGUUGGAAAAAACGUGGCAAGAGGUAGGUGAAGCAGGCUCAUUCUACCAUGGGUGCUUUCAUGGAUUCUCAGAAGACUGCCUCCUCCGGUCUGCCGCCAGAUCAGUGCACUUUCCUGCUUAGGCUGAUCCCUUAGUCCCUCUGCAACCAGCAAAACCUUCGGCUUCUGUCAAGAUGGCGUUUCGCUCUUAUUGCCCAGGCUGGAGUACAAUGGCACGAUCUUGGCUCACCACAACCUCUGCUUCCUGGGUUCGAGUGAUUCUCCUGCCUCAGCCUCCCAAGUAGCUGGGAUUACAGGCAUGUGCCACCAAGCCCAGCUAAUUUUUGUAUUUUUAGUAGAGAUGGGGUUUCUCCAUGUUGUUCAGGCUGGUCUCCAACUCUCGACCUCAGGUGAUCUGCCUGCCUCGGCUUCCCAAAGUGCUGGGAUUACAGAUGUGAGCCACUGCACCUGGCCAAAGUGAAGUCUUAAUUCCUAAUUACUUUGUCUCUUCUUGUUAUUAACUUCUUUUCACUUCUUGAAUUUACUGUACUAACUGCACCAAAAGAAUAAUUUCUUGAUUAUAUAAUUCAUGCAGAAAUAAAAAAGGCUAUUUUACAA
rnacentral:lncRNA from 1 species